AGACUCCGGUGUGACGCCAGUACACAUCGUUGAGUUUGCAACUCAACAUGAACUUCACUACAAAGUC
rnacentral:tRNA from 1 species